rnacentral:rRNA from 1 species
CCUACGGGAGGCAGCAGUGAGGAAUAUUGGUCAAUGGGCGGGAGCCUGAACCAGCCAAGUCGCGUGAGGGAAGACGGUCCUAUGGAUUGUAAACCUCUUUAGGCGGGGAGCAAUGCCGGGCACGCGUGCCCGGAGGGAGAGUACCCGCAGAAUAAGCAUCGGCUAACGCCGUGCCAGCAGCCGCGGUAAUACGGAGGAUGCGAGCGUUAUCCGGAUUUAUGGGGUUAAAAGGGUGCGUAGGCGGAUUUUUAAGUCAGCGGUAAAAUGUCCGGGCUCAACCCGGGCCGGCCGUUGAAACUGGGGAUCUUGAGUGGGCGAGAAGUAUGCGGAAUGCGUGGUGUAGCGGUGAAAUGCAUAGAUAUCACGCAGAACUCCGAUUGCGAAGGCAGCAUACCGGCGCCCGACUGACGCUGAGGCACGAAAGCGUGGGGAUCGAACAGGAUUAGAUACCCCAGUAGUC